CUUCUACUGCUGAAUUACCAUGGAGUGUACUGGUGCCUCUGACCUCUUUGUCAUGAAAUUAGAGGUACUUAACUUAUUAGCAUUUGAGAAGCUGGAGGUACACAAAAGCUUCAACAGCGGAUGUUGAGAUGUCAUCAUCAAAAUUUGAAGAGACACUGUAUAUAACUUCUGUGGGCCAUUAUGUAUUGCAUUCAUCAGUCCAUUAAGAAGGUACAGGUGCCAUUGUGAAAUUGAUAGUUAUGGCAGAACCAUUUGUUCUGGGACAAGAUUGUCUUGCCUGUCUACAUUACUUUUGUGAUCAAUUUAUUUUUCUUUCCAUUUCCAGUUUUGUUAUGCUCAAACAAAAGUGAUGGAGGACUUGAAGGCCACUCACCCAUCAAUAGUUUUCAUUAGAACUUCCAUUGCCAACAAUACAGCAGAAAUUACAAGAGAGACUGAGCAUCUUUAGCAUGGAUAAUGAACUGCUGCAAUCCUUCAAACAGGACAGAACAGUGCUGUGAAGAUGGAUGCUUCAAAAUGUCCUAUGAAAUAAUGGUGGAAAUUGCAGAUAAGUCAAUCCCACAGUUGAGGAGGAGUAGUGAGAGAGCAGCAUGGUAGGCGCCAGCCAAGGUCAGCCCACUGUGGUGUUGAAGACACAGGUGCAGCCGGGAUAAGAAACUGAAUCAGCUUUGAAGAUGUUCAUCUUUCUAUCCACUGUAUUACUAAGGUAUUCUCAGGCAGUAUGUAAAAUCCCAUUUUAUAAUAUGGUUCUAAUUUAUUAAUGAAUUCAGCGGAGAUGUAAAAUAGUUAAAUACAUUUCUUUUAAAAUUAUUUUGAAAACUGUUCCCCUUUGUGCACAAUUGGAAAUAUAUAUCUUCAUGGGUAUGUAUGUGUACAUUUAAUCUGUGUCUUUAUUGAUACAUCUACUGUGUAUGUGCAUACAUAUGUACAUACACACCUAAAAGAGGUCUUUCUAGUUCUCACUGAAACUAAACAUCAUGCAGAGUUAACCAAUAGUGACAUGCUUUUCUUGUUUAAAGAAAAACUCAGCCGAUAAGGAUUCUGG
rnacentral:lncRNA from 1 species